ensembl:snRNA U4 U4 spliceosomal RNA
AGCUUUGCAGAGAGGCAGUAUUGUAGCCAAUGAUGUUAAUCUGAGGCACAAUUAUUGCUAAUUGAAAAUGUUCCUCUAUACAAUCCUCUUCCUAAUUUUUGAUAGUUCACCAGAGUA